rnacentral:lncRNA from 1 species
AGGCAGACCUUUUUAUGUGAUCCUCUCUCAGGCUGAGUUGUCUGCUUAUCUGCCCUCAAGGUUUCUCUUUUUCUGGCCACUUAUCUUCUGAAUCAAUCAGCUAAGGUUCAGCCUCCAGUUUGCAACCUCUGAUCUGGAACAUACAGCAGCCACUCUACUGUCACAAUGAACCAGCUUUGCAUUGGAUCAAUUCAAGGCACAAUCAGGAUAUGGCCUAAAAUAAAAUAGUUGGCAUAUUCAUUGCAAACCAUCCCCUGCCAACAUUUAAAAAAAUACAUGGUUAUAUUUAAAUAACUUAAAUGUCAUUUAUUUAUGCUAUUAAUUUGCUUAGUUCAUCUUGGGUACAAUUACCACAAGUCCUGAAUUUAAUGGGGCCCA